rnacentral:rRNA from 1 species
UACGAAGGGGGCUAGCGUUGCUCGGAGUUACUGGGCGUAAAGGGCGCGUAGGCGGAUAGUUUAGUUGGGGGUGAAAGCCCGGGGCUCAACCUCGGAACUGCCUUCAAUACUGGCUAUCUUGAGUACGGGAGAGGUGUGUGGAACUCCGAGUGUAGAGGUGAAAUUCGUAGAUAUUCGGAAGAACACCUGUGGCGAAGGCGACACACUGGCCCGUUACUGACGCUGAGGCGCGAAAGCGUGGGGAGCAAACAGG